GCCCUGCUGGCUCAAUGGUAGAGCAUCAGACUUCUAAGUCAUGGCGUCACCAUCGCUAGUGCCUAGCUAUCUGAAGGUUGUGGGUUCGAGUCCCACGUAGGGUG